GAGGCUGUGCAUAGGUGUUCUGCAGACCAUGAACUGAGCACUAGUCCCAGACAUUCAUGAGCACAGUGUGAGGCUCCUGAUCACCACCCAGCAGCCCCUUCCUCUCUGGCACUAAGGACCCCUGGAGAAGAUGGGGAGGAAAAAGAUUCAGAUCCAGCGAAUCACUGAUGAACGGAACCGCCAGGUGACAUUCACCAAGCGGAAGUUUGGGCUGAUGAAGAAGGCCUACGAACUGAGUGUGCUGUGCGACUGUGAGAUCGCGCUCAUCAUCUUCAACCACUCCAACAAGCUGUUUCAGUACGCCAGCACCGACAUGGACAAGGUGCUGCUCAAGUACACGGAGUACAACGAGCCGCAUGAGAGCCGCACCAAUGCUGACAUCAUUGAGGUGCGCGCCUGGGCCCACCUCUGCUCAUGUGUAAACCUCUCUUUUCUCCUGAACCCAGGGUCCAAGGAAGGAGGGGUCUGACAGCAAAGGCAUGAGUCAUGUAGCCAGCACCAGGCCUCAGCUCAACUUAGGCAUGUGGUCUACCAGGUCUGAGGAGCAUCCUGCUGUCUUGUGCUUUGGGCUCCUCCUUCCUUCAUUCUCUGUGAUACUCCUUGUAUCUCCCUCUUUGUUCCUGUCUCUCAGUUCUGUUCCUUUGUGGGUUUGUGUGGCUCUUGUCUUGUUUCAGGGUCAAGAUGUGAAAUGUUGAAGGAUAUG
rnacentral:lncRNA from 1 species